AUUUUACUCCUGCAUGCUAUACUUAAUAGUCUUCCCAUCUCAUUGCUAUCUUUCUUUGGACAACUGGCUGCUGCCUGGAAUCUUUUAGGUGUUGUAGUUCUUACAAUUCUCAUACCCUGUGUCGCGACCGAGAGGUCCAGUGCCAAGUUUGUUUUCACAUAUUUCAACACAAAUAAUGGGGAUGGAAUCAAUAGUAAACCCUACAUAUUUGUUCUUGGACUUUUGAUGAGCCAAUACACACUUACCAUAUGUGCAGAUGCAUCAUACCCAGUAAGGG
rnacentral:misc_RNA from 1 species